GGGAAUCUACCCUUCUCUACGGGAUAGCUCCGGGAAACUGGAAUUAAUACCGUAUACGUCCUGAGGGAGAAAGAUUUAUCGGGGAAGGAUGAGCCCGCGUUGGAUUAGCUAGUUGGUGGGGUAAAGGCCUACCAAGGCGACGAUCCAUAGCUGGUCUAAGAGGAUGAUCAGCCACAUUGGGACUGAGAUACGGCCCAAACUCCUACGGGAGGCAGCAGUGGGGAAUAUUGGACAAUGGGCGCAAGCCUGAUCCAGCCAUGCCGCGUGAGUGAUGAAGGCCCUAGGGUUGUAAAGCUCUUUCAGUGGGGACGAUAAUGACGGUACCCACAGAAGAAGCCCCGGCUAACUUCGUGCCAGCAGCCGCGGUAAUACGAAGGGGGCUAGCGUUGUUCGGAAUUACUGGGCGUAAAGCGCACGUAGGCGGAUAUUUAAGUCAGGGGUGAAAUCCCGGGGCUCAACCCCGGAACUGCCUUUGAUACUGGAUAUCUUGAGUUCGGAAGAGGUAAGUGGAAUUGCGAGU
rnacentral:rRNA from 1 species